rnacentral:rRNA from 1 species
AUUGAACGCUGGCGGCAUGCCUUACACAUGCAAGUCGAACGGCAGCAUGAUCUAGCUUGCUAGAUUGAUGGCGAGUGGCGAACGGGUGAGUAAUACAUCGGAACGUGCCCUGUAGUGGGGGAUAACUAGUCGAAAGAUUAGCUAAUACCGCAUAUGACCUGAGGGUGAAAGUGGGGGACCGCAAGGCCUCAUGCUAUAGGAGCGGCCGAUGUCUGAUUAGCUAGUUGGUGAGGUAAAGGCUCACCAAGGCGACGAUCGGUAGCUGGUCUGAGAGGACGAUCAGGCACACUGGGACUGAGACACGGCCCAGACGCCUACGGGAGGAAGCAGUGGGGAAUUUUGGACAAUGGGGGCAACCCUGAUCCAGCAAUGCCGCGUGUGUGAAGAAGGCCUUCGGGUUGUAAAGCACUUUUGUCCGGAAAGAAAUCGCACUUACUAAUAUUAGGUGUGGAUGACGGUACCGGAAGAAUAAGGACCGGCUAACUACGUGCCAGCAGCCGCGGUAACAC